rnacentral:rRNA from 1 species
UACGUAGGGUGCAGGCGUUAAUCGGAAUUACUGGGCGUAAAGCGUGCGCAGGCGGUUUGCUAAGUCAGGUGUGAAAUCCCCGGGCUUAACCUGGGAACUGCGCUUGUUACUGGCAAGCUAGAGUGUGGCAGAGGGGGGUGGAAUUCCAGGUGUAGCAGUGAAAUGCGUAGAGAUCUGGAGGAACACCGAUGGCGAAGGCAGCCCCCUGGGCUAACACUGACGCUCAUGCACGAAAGCGUGGGGAGCAAACAGG